UCUGAACGUUAGCACUGCUAACACCUGCCUGCCCCACUGCCCACCCCGGAUCCUUACAGACUUACUCUCUGGACGCUCCCUGUUGCUCUCCCAGAUCUCUUACCCCUCCAUGCCUCGCCUGCUCCCGCAAAGAAUGACUUUGAGAAUUUUCUGCCUCCUAAUUCCUCGCUGGCCACAUCUCUCGGUUCCUGCACUGGACGUUACCCGGUGUCAGGUUCCUCACUCAGGUCUGCGAGAGCCCCAAGACUCCCUCAUGGACCCCACCUCCCAGUUAGACACAGUGGUUACAAAGCACCCUGUUUCUCAGUCUGUGUUGUGUUGCCUACUCUGUUUGCUUCGCUCAUACGCUCUGCGUCUCUGAGUGGUUUUCACAUCUGAGUCCAUUCACCUGUGUCUAGCUUUCUGGCUGUGACAUGAAGCGCCCAUGAUUCCCAGUAAAAGACUUCUACAAGAAAUAUGUGUUCAGUCUGUGUGCAUGUCUGUGUGUUUAAAGUCUGCAUAAAGAUGAUACAGGUUCAUCCACAGUGUUAGGUCCAUGUUCAUGUGCAUUAUUCAAAUCUAGUGGAGAGCGACAAAGAACAAAAACUUUGGACAUGGAGAAAACAUGCAGAAAAUAAAAUAUUAACAUCGUUAAACUUCCCAAAGUCUGGGGCCCGCCCCCUAGGGGGGGCGCAGAGCCAUUGCAGGGGGGGAGCGCGGUA